rnacentral:rRNA from 1 species
UACGAAGGGGACUAGCGUUGUUCGGAAUUACUGGGCGUAAAGCGCACGUAGGCGGAUUUGUAAGUCAGGGGUGAAAUCCCGGGGCUCAACCUCGGAACUGCCUUUGAUACUGCAAAUCUCGAGUCCGAUAGAGGUGGGUGGAAUUCCUAGUGUAGAGGUGAAAUUCGUAGAUAUUCGCAAGAACACCAGUGGCGAAGGCGGCUCACUGGCCCGAUACUGACGCUGAGGUGCGAAAGCGUGGGGAGCAAACAGGG